CAAAGCCGCGAGGUGGAGCAAAUCCUAAAAAGCCGGUCUCAGUUCGGAUUGCAGGCUGCAAUUCGCCUGCAUGAAGUCGGAAUCGCUAGUAAUCGCAGGUCAGCAUACUCGCGGUGAAUACGUUCCCGGGCCUU
rnacentral:rRNA from 1 species